UACGUAGGGUGCAAGCGUUAAUCGGAAUUACUGGGCGUAAAGCGUGCGCAGGCGGUGCUGUAAGACAGUUGUGAAAUCCCCGGGCUCAACCUGGGAACUGCAUCUGUGACUGCAUUGCUGGAGUGCGGCAGAGGGGGAUGGAAUUCCGCGUGUAGCAGUGAAAUGCGUAGAUAUGCGGAGGAACACCGAUGGCGAAGGCAAUCCCCUGGGCCUGCACUGACGCUCAGGCACGAAAGCGUGGGGAGCAAACAGG
rnacentral:rRNA from 1 species